GUAAACGUCACCACCACGUUUGGGAAUUCAGUCUCAACCUCCUUUCCCAAUUACCUAACCAACUCUUUCCACUCACACACUCAUUCCACACCUUAGAAGAAGAAAAAAAAAAGGGUUACAUAGAGAGACAGAGAAAAAGGGAACCUAGAGGGAGUCUGAAGGAGAAAGGAGAGAGUACAAGAAAUUCACUAUAAGGAGACAAGUAUAGAGGUGGGAGAGCAAAGACCGCUGCGUGAGGAGUUUAACGACGGUUGUUGCGAAGAUAAUCAUCAAUUCGUCUUUCCUCCUUAACGGCGACGUCAGGGAGGUAAAGUGAUAUAGUAGAAGAAGACGCAAGUAAAGCGGUGGUGCACAUUUGGAGGCUUGAUAAAUUCCGACAGUGGUAUUAGCCUUGAUGAGAAAACUUUUCGCAAGCAUCCGAAACUAUGGCCAGCUAGGUUUAUUCUUGGGUAGAGAAAAAAGGGCCAAGUGUCUUGUUCGUAGGAUACUUAUAUUUUUGAUGUAAGACAACUUUGAUUUACUAUUUUGAAAGUUCAAAGAGAAA